ensembl:snoRNA
AUUCUUUCCUGGUUCAUAAGCAUGAUGAUUGAGUGUUCACACGUUUCUGUUAUAUAUGCCUUCCUUAAAUCUUGUUACAAGUUUAGCUCAUUGUCUGAUGUGAAA